GACUCGAUGGCGGAGGGUCCGCGCCUGCUCUCAAUUCUGGAAAGACACACUGUUCAGCAGGAGCCGCCGGGUCGAUUCCGGCUCGAGUGA